rnacentral:rRNA from 1 species
AACAGAGGUGCCAAGCGUUAGGCGGAAUCACUGGGCUUAAAGCGUGUGUAGGCGGAUCGUUAAGUACCUUGUGAAAUCCCACGGCUCAACCGUGGAACUGCUGGGUAUACUGGCGAUCUUGAGCCACCUAGGGGCGAGCGGAACAAGCGGUGGAGCGGUGAAAUGCGUAGAUAUCGCUUGGAACGCCAAUGGUGAAAACAGCUCGCUGGGGGUGUGCUGACGCUGAGACACGAAAGCCAGGGGAGCGAGCGGG